rnacentral:rRNA from 1 species
UACGGAGGGUGCAAGCGUUAUCCGGAUUCACUGGGUUUAAAGGGUGCGUAGGCGGGCAGGUAAGUCAGUGGUGAAAUCUCCGGGCUUAACCCGGAAACUGCCAUUGAUACUAUCAGUCUUGAAUACCGUGGAGGUAAGCGGAAUAUGUCAUGUAGCGGUGAAAUGCUUAGAUAUGACAUAGAACACCAAUUGCGAAGGCAGCUUACUACCCGAAUAUUGACACUGAGGCACGAAAGCGUGGGGAUCAAACAGG